AUACAGUUCCGUAGGCUCUGGACUUUCUACUUCCCGCUCCCCAAAUUUUCUCCCCUCCACUGAUUUCCCCUCUAUUAUUACAAUAGUACAUUUUUAAACUUUUUUAAAUAGGAAU